AAUAUUCAAAUAUCCAUAACGCGUUUCGUCACAAAAGGACUUUUUCAAAUGGAAUGGUUAUUCCAUUUGAAAAAGUCCUUUUGUGACGAAACGCGUUAUGGAUAUUUGAAUAU
rnacentral:miRNA from 1 species